AAAACAAUAACGGACACAUUUUGAUAGGUGCCUAUCAAAAUGCUGGAGAUUAAAAAUACUUUAUACACAGAGCUGGCAGCCUUGUACAUUGGUAUCUUUUGGGGAAUGAGUCAAAAGAUUUGUCAUUUUGUUUAUCAUUGAAAUAGCAAUUCUAGCAACUGAUCUUUAAGAAACAGUCACAAAUGUUUCCAAAAUACAGAUUUGAUCCAAAUAAUUUUUUCCAAUAAAAAAAUGUUUCCCCAAAUUGGGAAUUGGUUAAGUAAAUUACAAAAUAGCCGUAAAAACCCUUUAUACACGAAUUUUCAGAACAAUAUCUGAUGUGAACAAUAUACCGUAUAUCUUGUCUAGUAAAAAAGCAGUACAUCGCACAGUCAUUUCUUUUUGGGUCAAAAAGAAAAUGUACAGGGGGGAAAAAGAGGAAAGAUGUACACAUCAAGUGUGAUUGGUGGUUACCUUUAAGUCUGGUCUCUCUAUGUUUAAUACAUUUUCUUCAAUUAGCAUAUAUGCUGUGGGAAAAUAUUUCAAUUGUGUUUUUACAAAGUUGGCAACCAGCGUGAGCAGAUAAAAUGAGCCGCACUCUUUGUAUGGCCUGUCACCCCUCCACAAAGGGGUGAUAUUAUUUUGCUGACAUCCCUGAAGACCACUCAAUCUCAUGUUGCAAAUCUGGCCACGAUGGGGACCAAGCCCAGGCAAGGAGAGAACUGCAAACAUUUCAAGGGCGAACAUUUUCUUGGCUUCCAGGCUCAGAGGAAGGAGGCAAUGUCUUCCGUGCAGAGGGACAGGAGAGCUCAGGAAUGCAAAUGCUACAGUAAUAUUUUGCCCACAGAUUCAGAGAGAAAAAUCCAGCCCAGGCAAGACGCUCCCUUGCUCUGUCCUCCAUGGGGGCGAAAGAGCAGAGACAAAGGAAUGGAGCUCCACUUCCUCCUCAGGGAAAGAGAAAAGCUUGAAAUUGUGAGUUUUCCCAGGCUUCUUCUGGGAUGCCAAGGAAGACUGAAUUGCAUAAUCUCACAAAAAUGUGAGAUGCAACCUACGCCUUCAUAAACUAAUAAUAUAGAGUCGAGGGAUUAGAAACACUGAGAAACAUGUGUGUGAUUUCCUGACCUGAGCACAAUUAAAGACGUUGAUUGUGAAAUCUAAAUGCCUCCAGAACCAAAGAACUACAGACCCAAGAAACGUAACUCACCAUGGAGGGAUCCUGAUGUCAUAUCGGGUUCUUUUGUAAGAGCUCUCGGGGAGAACCCAGAGACACGUAGGAGUGUCUUUUCCAUUAAACUCAGAAGGUCCAUAUUGGAAACCUUGCCUGUUCUUCCAACAGAGAGAGAUUGCAUCGAAAGGCAAAGCUAGCUUUUAAUAUAUUGCUAUUUUAGAGAUUUCCUUCUUUCUCUGUAUUUGGUUUGUUUUAAACGUGUUGAUUAUUGGCUGUUGAUGAGCAAAGCACUGGGCUCAGAGCAGAGCUGCUGGGCUUGGAACCGUAGCCAAAUGCUCCAAGGGCCUCCUCAGCAGCACCUGCCUGAGCAACAUGAAGGAGUACAGAUGUGUGGCCUGGCAACUCUGGAAGGAAGGUUACCCAAGGGGCAGUGUUCUAUUAAAUUGAACACUGUUCAUUGGGCACGUCCUUGUGUCACAUCACUGUGUUAGGGCCAUACAUUGGGAAGGCAAAGGUAAGUGUGACAUAGCUCCUGCCCAUAAGAAUGUCACAAUUUUUUUUAAAAAAGAUGUUAUUUAUUUUUUUGAUCAAGAGAGAGGGAGAGAGAGAGAGAGCACAUCAGUGGGGGCAGAGGAGUGGCAGAGAGAGAAAAGGGAGCCAAAUGCAGAGCAUCCUGGGAUCAUGACCUGAACCAAAAGCAGAUGCUUGCUUAACUGACUGAGCCACCCAGGCACCCGAAGAAUGUCACAAUUUGAUAGGAAUAUAAUUAAAUUAAAAUUAAAUUUAAAAAUUCAAUUCAAUUAAAAAAUUGAAUUCAUUCAUGUGCUAAAUUAGCAACAUGAACAUUAUUUUUUUAUGCAGACUCCAGGGAUAAGGGAGAGCUUUAAAAAAAAUUCUUCAUCAAAAUCAUAAUCCAAGAGAAUUUAUCUAGACUUAUUACAAGGAUCUCUGUCUCUGGACCCCCUAAGCCUGUGGUGCUCAAAGUAGAUGUGGGUACCCUAACUGUGCAGAUGCAGAAAUGAAAUAUGAUAACAUAUUCGUGCUUUUAAAUGUAUUCUUUUGAAUUUUAUUUUUUUGUAUGUUUUAUAACAUGACAUAAUGGUUCAGUAGUAACUUUAUUAUUUACAAAAAUAAUGAACUAUGUUGGGAGGUGCGUGCUCAGGAAAGCUCGACGUGAGAAUGUGAACGGAAGUUUGAAAAUGAUUAAACUCAGUUGUCCCCCAUCAUCCUCAAGGCCGUGGAUCAUCUUCCCUGAGGCGUCUGGGUAGUUUGGCUGCACCUUAGCAACUGGAAUCUCACCUGACCAUCUCUAUCACCUCUGCUAAGUGGAGAAGACCCUCCAAUUAUUGGCAUCCUUUGCAGGUUCCCUGUCAUUAUAUGACUUUCCCUCUGCCCCCCCCUUUUUAAAGAUUUUAUCUAUUUAUUUAUUCAUGAAAGACACACACAGAAAGAGGCAGAGAUAUAGGCAGAGGGAGAAGCAGGCUCCAUGCAGGGAGCCCAAUGUGGGACUCGAUCCUGGGACUCCAGGAUCAUGCCCUGAGCCGAAGGCAGACGCCCAACCACUGCUGAGCCACCCAGGGAUCCCUCCCUCCACCUUUUUAUGUCAUAAAUGGUUAAGGAGGCAGACGCCCAGGUAGGUGAGGUAACUCAUCCAGCAUUAUAGAACUAGUAUUACUAAGGUGCUUUCUGGCAAAAAUUAAGGAAGAAAACAAAACAAUGCUGAUAUUGGCUGAGAUGAUGGACUAGUUAGAAACUGGCCAACAUUUUAAACAGAAAAGCAAAAAUCACAAAACCUGUUGGUACAAGAGCUAUAAAAGCUGUGAGGUAAAGGAGGCACAGGGUAAAUGAAUCAGCACAACUCAUGGCUACUUGUGGAAUUCGGUGGUCAUACAGGCCCCGUGAAAAUCCCCACUUUGCCGCUCAGUACCUGUGAGAUCUGAGCUAUGACUGGACACUCACAAGUGUGUCAGUUGCUGCUCUUGAGCUACAAGGAAUAGAAACCAGCUCUGGCUAACAUAAGCACUCCCCAAAAGAAUUUUUUGAGAGGGAAUGGGAUCAUUCCUAGAAUCCAAGGGAAGAGCUGGAGUGCAGGCCCUAGGAAGGAUAACAUCUAGUGCAGUUCCUGGGACCCUGGCAGUGACGUGGAGCCUCUUGCCUCUCGGGACUGGGCUCUGAAAACUCCACCAUAACUGCCCUUGGGUUCUGGAAUGUACAUCCACUCAGAAUCCUAAAUUCUCAGGAUGGAUAUUCCAACUGGCCUGUGUUAGUCCCGUGCCUAUCUGUGUGGUUCUGUGAUUGGACAGGGCUGGGAUUUAAACCCUAGGAGCCUUCAGAGUGGAAGAAAGGCUGGUGCACAAAGGAAGGAGGGCAGAGCCAGACAAAAAAACUGGGCACGUCUACCACACUGAGGUUCAGUUACCUCCUGGGAAAUGGAAAUGAAAAUACAGAUCUGGGAGGGGUUGCGUUGCAAUUUAAUCGAACAAGAUAAAGUUUACAAAAUCCUCAGUACAAGGCCUGACGCUUAGUAAGCAUUCAAUAAAUACAAAUAAAAUUUUUAAAUAAAAUCA
rnacentral:lncRNA from 1 species